rnacentral:misc_RNA from 1 species
UGUCACUGUCAGUUUGUGC